UACAGAGGCCAAGAGCGUUGUUCGGAUUUACUGGGCGUAAAGGGCGCGUAGGCGGCGAGGCGUGUCAAGUGUGAAAUCUCCGGGCUCAACCCGGAAAGUGCGCUUGAAACUACCUUGCUCGAGUGCGGAAGAGGGAAUCGGAAUACAGGGUGUAGCGGUGAAAUGCGUUGAUAUCCUGUAGAACACCGGAGGCGAAGGCGGACUCCUUGUACGCAACUGACGCUGAGGCGCGAAAGUCGGGGGGGCAAAC
rnacentral:rRNA from 1 species